rnacentral:rRNA from 1 species
GAGACAGCCCAGCAUCUCUUUUUUACUAGCCCUGUGGCCAGGGUAGUAUGGCGAUCCAUUAUGGUGGUGCUGGGCACUGACAAGUGCCCCACAAACUUCUGGCAAUAUUUCGUGUGGUGUCACAAAUUUCUUCCCGGGAAGAAGUCUUUUUACACGGUGGGCCUAAAGGCCACCUGUUGGGCUAUAUGGUUGGCACGCAAUUGGGUCACUUUUGAAAAAAAAUCAAGACUCCUUUUAAGAUUGUGUUUUCUCUAUGCUCCUUUCUGUUAUACUGGACAGGUCUACAGCAAGGGGAUGCCGCCAGGGAGCUGCGUACGGGAGCAGAGAUGA